rnacentral:rRNA from 1 species
CGUAGGUGAACCUGCGGAGGGAUCAUUACAAGUGACCCCGGUCUAACCACCGGGAUGUUCAUAACCCUUUGUUGUCCGACUCUGUUGCCUCCGGGGCGACCCUGCCUUCGGGCGGGGGCUCCGGGUGGACACUUCAAACUCUUGCGUAACUUUGCAGUCUGAGUAAACUUAAUUAAUAAAUUAAAACUUUUAACAACGGAUCUCUUGGUUCUGGCAUCGAUGAAGAACGCAGCGAAAUGCGAUAAGUAAUGUGAAUUGCAGAAUUCAGUGAAUCAUCGAAUCUUUGAACGCACAUUGCGCCCCCUGGUAUUCCGGGGGGCAUGCCUGUUCGAGCGUCAUUUCACCACUCAAGCCUCGCUUGGUAUUGGGCAACGCGGUCCGCCGCGUGCCUCAAAUCGACCGGCUGGGUCUUCUGUCCCCUAAGCGUUGUGGAAACUAUUCGCUAAAGGGUGUUCGGGAGGCUACGCCGUAAAACAACCCCAUUUCUAAGGUUGACCUCGGAUCAGGUAGGGAUACCCGCUGAACUUAAGCAUAUCAAUAAGCGGAGGA